CAAGUCUGGUGCCAGCAGCCGCGGUAAUUCCAGCUCCAAUAGCGUAUAUUAAAGUUGUUGCAGUUAAAAAGCUCGUAGUUGAAUUUCGGGAUCAGUUCGCUGGUCGUGCCUCUGGUAUGUACUGGUGUUACUGGUUCCUCCCUUCUGAAGAACUGUCAUGUCAUUAAUUUGGUGUGGCGGGGAAUCAGGACUGUUACUUUGAAAAAAUUAGAGUGUUUAAAGCAGGCUCGCGCUUGAAUACAUUAGCAUGGAAUAAUGAAAUAGGACGUUUGAUCCUAUUUUGUUGGUUUCUAGGAUUGACGUAAUGAUUAAUAGGGAUAGUUGGGGGCAUUAGUAUUCAAUUGUCAGGGGUGAAAUUCUUGGAUUUAUUGAAGACUAACUACUGCGAAAGCAUUUGCCAAGGAUAUUUUCAUUAAUCAAGAACGAAAGUUAGGGGAUCGAAGACGAUCAGAUACCGUCGUAGUCUUAACCAUAAACUAUGCCGACUAGGGAUCGGAUGAUGUUAAUUCUUUAAUGACUCAUUC
rnacentral:rRNA from 1 species